CUACGGGGUGCUGCAGUGGGGAAUAUUGGACAAUGGGCGCAAGCCUGAUCCAGCAAUCCCGCGUGAGUGAAGACGGCCUUAGGGUUGUAAAGCUCUUUCGCUAGGGAAGAUAAUGACUGUACCUAGUAAAGAAGUCCCGGCUAACUCCGUGCCAGCAGCCGCGGUAAUACGGAGGGGACUAGCGUUGUUCGGAAUUACUGGGCGUAAAGAGUUCGUAGGCGGACUGACAAGUUAGAGGUGAAAUCCCAGGGCUCAACCCUGGAACUGCCUUUAAAACUGUCAGUCUAGAGACCGGAAGAGGUUAGGGGAAUACCUAGUGUAGAGGUGAAAUUCGUAGAUAUUAGGUGGAACACCAGUGGCGAAGGCGCCUAACUGGUCCGGUACUGACGCUGAGGAACGAAAGCGUGGGGAGCAAACAGGAUUAGAUACCCCGGUAGUC
rnacentral:rRNA from 1 species